CCUCGGGGGGCAGCAGUGAGGAAUAUUGGUCCAUGGGCGCGAGCCUGAACCAGCCAAGUAGCGUGAAGGAUGACUGCCCUACGGGUUGUAAACUUCUUUUAUAAAGGAAUAAAGUGAGGCACGUGUGCCUUUUUGUAUGUACUUUAUGAAUAAGGAUCGGCUAACUCCGUGCCAGCAGCGGCGGUAAUACGGAGGAUCCGAGUGUUAUCCGGAUUUAUUGGGUGUAAAGGGGGCGUAGAUGGGGUGUUAAGUCAGUUGUGAAAGUUUGCGGCUCAACCGUAAAAUUGCAAUUGAUAAUGGCAGCCUUGAGUACAGUAGAGGUAGGCGGAAUUCGUGGUGUAGCGGUGAAAUGCUUAGAUAUCACGAAGAACUCCGAUGGCGAAGGCAGCCUACUAAACUGCCACUGACAUUGAUGCUCGAAAGUGUGGGUAUCAAACAGGAUUAGAUACCCCAGUAGUC
rnacentral:rRNA from 1 species